rnacentral:rRNA from 1 species
AUUGAACGCUGGCGGCAUGCCUUACACAUGCAAGUCGAACGGCAGCACGGGGGCAACCCUGGUGGCGAGUGGCGAACGGGUGAGUAAUACAUCGGAACGUAUCCAGUCGUGGGGGAUAACCAGUCGAAAGAUUGGCUAAUACCGCAUGAGAUCGAAAGAUGAAAGCGGGGGACCCGCAAGGGCCUCGCGCGAUCGGAGCGGCCGAUGUCGGAUUAGCUAGUUGGCGGGGAAGAGCCCACCAAGGCGACGAUCCGUAGCUGGUU